GCAGUCGAGCGGACGGAUGGGAGCUUGCUCCCUGAAGUCAGCGGCGGACGGGUGAGUAACACGUGGGCAACCUGCCUGUAAGACUGGGAUAACUUCCGGGAAACCGGGGCUAAUACCGGAUAAUUCUUCCCUUUCACAUGAGGGGGAGCUGAAAGAUGGUUUCGGCUAUCACUUACAGAUGGGCCCGCGGCGCAUUAGCUAGUUGGUGAGGUAACGGCUCACCAAGGCGACGAUGCGUAGCCGACCUGAGAGGGUGAUCGGCCACACUGGGACUGAGACACGGCCCAGACUCCUACGGGAGGCAGCAGUAGGGAAUCUUCCGCAAUGGACGAAAGUCUGACGGAGCAACGCCGCGUGAGUGAUGAAGGUUUUCGGAUCGUAAAACUCUGUUGUCAGGGAAGAACAAGUGCCGGAGUAACUGCCGGCACCUUGACGGUACCUGGCCAGAAAGCCACGGCUAACUACGUGCCAGCAGCCGCGGUAAUACGUAGGUGGCAAGCGUUGUCCGGAAUUAUUGGGCGUAAAGCGCGCGC
rnacentral:rRNA from 1 species